rnacentral:lncRNA from 1 species
CAGACCCGCGGGGGUUGAUGUAUUCUGACAUAAAUAAUUAACCAUAAAAACAGCGAUCCCCCCUCCCCAAAAGGAUGAUUGGAAAUGGAGAACCGUGGAUUCACAAACAAAAGUAUGUGCUUUUUUUUUUUUUUUUUUUCUAUAAAGGAGAAAGUAAGCCAAGGAGAUAUUUUUGGAAUGAAAAGUUUGGGGCUUUUUUAGGAAAGUAAAGACUUGAUAUGGUGGUGUUUUCUUUUUGAAUUUCCCACAAGAGGAGAGGGAAUUAAUAAUACAUCUGCAAAGAAAUUUCGGAGAAGAAAAGUUGACCGCGGCAGAAUGAGGCAUUGAUUGGGGGAGAGAAGCCAGCAGAGGACAGUUGGAUUUGUGCCUAUGUUGACUAAAAUUGACGGAUAAUUGCAGUUGGAUUUUUCUUCAUCAACCUCGUUUCUCCCCCCACCCCCGCCUUUUUUUUUUUCUUUUUGGUGUCAAGAUCAUGCGUUUUUCCGCUUGUUCUUAACCACCUGGAUAUCCAUCUGGAUGUUGCUGUGAUCAGUCUGAAAUACAAUUGGCAAACACACUGCCUGUUUACAGCACGGAGGCCACAAUGGAGAGCUAGGUGGGUGAUGAUUCAUGCUAAAUCUUUGCCACAAUAUGCUGAACACUACAGCAGCAGCUAAUGUG